rnacentral:rRNA from 1 species
UUAAGCGACUAAGCGUACACGGUGGAUGCCCUGGCAGUCAGAGGCGAUGAAGGACGUGCUAAUCUGCGAAAAGCGUCGGUAAGGUGAUAUGAACCGUUAUAGCCGGCGAUGUCCGAAUGGGGAAACCCAGUGCAAUUCGUUGCACUAUCGUUAACUGAAUACAUAGGUUAACGAGGCGAACCGGGGGAACUGAAACAUCUAAGUACCCCGAGGAAAAGAAAUCAACCGAGAUUCCCCCAGUAGCGGCGAGCGAACGGGGAGCAGCCCAGAGUCUGAAUCAGCUUGUGUGUUAGUGGAACGGUCUGGAAAGUCCGACGGUACAGGGUGAUAGUCCCGUACACCAAAAUGCACAGGCUGUGAACUCGAAGAGUAGGGCGGGACACGUGGUAUCCUGUCUGAAUAUGGGGGGACCAUCCUCCAAGGCUAAAUACUCCUGACUGACCGAUAGUGAACCAGUACCGUGAGGGAAAGGCGAAAAGAACCCCGGCGAGGGGAGUGAAAAAGAACCUGAAACCGUGUACGUACAAGCAGUGGGAGCACCUUCGGGUGUGACUGCGUACCUUUUGUAUAAUGGGUCAGCGACUUAUAUUCUGUAGCAAGGUUAACCGUAUAGGGGAGCCGCAGGGAAACCGAGUCUUAACUGGGCGUUAAGUUGCAGGGUAUAGACCCGAAACCCGGUGAUCUAGCCAUGGGCAGGUUGAAGGUUGGGUAACACUAACUGGAGGACCGAACCGACUAAUGUUGAAAAAUUAGCGGAUGACUUGUGGCUGGGGGUGAAAGGCCAAUCAAACCGGGAGAUAGCUGGUUCUCCCCGAAAGCUAUUUAGGUAGCGCCUCGUGAACUCAUCUUCGGGGGUAGAGCACUGUUUCGGCUAGGGGGUCAUCCCGACUUACCAACCCGAUGCAAACUACGAAUACCGAAGAAUGUUAUCACGGGAGACACACGGCGGGUGCUAACGUCCGUCGUGAAGAGGGAAACAACCCAGACCGCCAGCUAAGGUCCCAAAGUCAUGGUUAAGUGGGAAACGAUGUGGGAAGGCACAGACAGCCAGGAUGUUGGCUUAGAAGCAGCCAUCAUUUAAAGAAAGCGUAAUAGCUCACUGGUCGAGUCGGCCUGCGCGGAAGAUGUAACGGGGCUAAACCAUGCACCGAAGCUGCGGCAGCGACACUAUGUGUUGUUGGGUAGGGGAGCGUUCUGUAAGCCUGCGAAGGUGUGCUGUGAGGCAUGCUGGAGGUAUCAGAAGUGCGAAUGCUGACAUAAGUAACGAUAAAGCGGGUGAAAAGCCCGCUCGCCGGAAGACCAAGGGUUCCUGUCCAACGUUAAUCGGGGCAGGGUGAGUCGACCCCUAAGGCGAGGCCGAAAGGCGUAGUCGAUGGGAAACAGGUUAAUAUUCCUGUACUUGGUGUUACUGCGAAGGGGGGACGGAGAAGGCUAUGUUAGCCGGGCGACGGUUGUCCCGGUUUAAGCAUGUAGGCUGGUUAUCCAGGCAAAUCCGGAUAAUCAAGGCUGAGGUGUGAUGACGAGGCACUACGGUGCUGAAGUAACAAAUGCCCUGCUUCCAGGAAAAGCCUCUAAGCAUCAGGUAACAUCAAAUCGUACCCCAAACCGACACAGGUGGUCAGGUAGAGAAUACCAAGGCGCUUGAGAGAACUCGGGUGAAGGAACUAGGCAAAAUGGUGCCGUAACUUCGGGAGAAGGCACGCUGGUGUGUAGGUGAAGCCCCUGCGGGUGGAGCUGAGACCAGUCGAAGAUACCAGCUGGCUGCAACUGUUUAUUAAAAACACAGCACUGUGCAAACACGAAAGUGGACGUAUACGGUGUGACGCCUGCCCGGUGCCGGAAGGUUAAUUGAUGGGGUUAUCCGUAAGGAGAAGCUCUUGAUCGAAGCCCCGGUAAACGGCGGCCGUAACUAUAACGGUCCUAAGGUAGCGAAAUUCCUUGUCGGGUAAGUUCCGACCUGCACGAAUGGCGUAAUGAUGGCCAGGCUGUCUCCACCCGAGACUCAGUGAAAUUGAACUCGCUGUGAAGAUGCAGUGUACCCGCGGCAAGACGGAAAGACCCCGUGAACCUUUACUAUAGCUUGACACUGAACAUUGAGCCUUGAUGUGUAGGAUAGGUGGGAGGCUUUGAAGCGUGGACGCCAGUCUGCGUGGAGCCAACCUUGAAAUACCACCCUUUAAUGUUUGAUGUUCUAACGUUGGCCCCUGACCGGGGUUGCGGACAGUGUCUGGUGGGUAGUUUGACUGGGGCGGUCUCCUCCCAAAGCGUAACGGAGGAGCACGAAGGUUAGCUAAUCCUGGUCGGACAUCAGGAGGUUAGUGCAAUGGCAUAAGCUAGCUUGACUGCGAGCGUGACGGCGCGAGCAGGUGCGAAAGCAGGUCAUAGUGAUCCGGUGGUUCUGAAUGGAAGGGCCAUCGCUCAACGGAUAAAAGGUACUCCGGGGAUAACAGGCUGAUACCGCCCAAGAGUUCAUAUCGACGGCGGUGUUUGGCACCUCGAUGUCGGCUCAUCACAUCCUGGGGCUGAAGUAGGUCCCAAGGGUAUGGCUGUUCGCCAUUUAAAGUGGUACGCGAGCUGGGUUUAGAACGUCGUGAGACAGUUCGGUCCCUAUCUGCCGUGGGCGCUGGAGAAUUGAGGGGGGCUGCUCCUAGUACGAGAGGACCGGAGUGGACGCAUCACUGGUGUUCGGGUUGUCAUGCCAAUGGCACUGCCCGGUAGCUAAAUGCGGAAGAGAUAAGUGCUGAAAGCAUCUAAGCACGAAACUUGCCCCGAGAUGAGUUCUCCCUGAGACUUUAAGUCUCCUGAAGGAACGUUGAAGACGACGACGUUGAUAGGCCGGGUGUGUAAGCGCAGCGAUGCGUUGAGCUAACCGGUACUAAUGAACCGUGAGGCUUAACCUU